UACGGAGGGGGCUAGCGUUGUUCGGAAUUACUGGGCGUAAAGCGCGCGUAGGCGGCUUAGCAAGUUAGAGGUGAAAGCCCGGAGCUUAACUCCGGAAUUGCCUUUAAAACUGCAAAGCUAGAAUCAUGGAGAGGUGAGUGGAAUUCCGAGUGUAGAGGUGAAAUUCGUAGAUAUUCGGAAGAACACCAGUGGCGAAGGCGGCUCACUGGCCCGGUACUGGACGCUGAGGUGCGAAAGCGUGGGGAGCAAACAGGG
rnacentral:rRNA from 1 species